AGCCAGAUGGUGUAGUUGAUCGUACACCUGGUUAUCCUAGGCUUGGAAAACCUUGGGACUGUAGGUUCGAAUCCUACUCUGGCCC
rfam:Macrophomina phaseolina MS6 contig00677, whole genome shotgun sequence.